UUGGACGUGGUGCUUAUGGACAUGGUUUAGUGGGUGACAUCGGAGGUAGGGUGAUGGUUGGACCAGAUGAUCUUGGAGGUCUUGUCCAACCCUAAUGAUUCUGUGAUUCAAUGGGAGUAGAGACUGUACUUUCCAUUAGCUUUAUGUAUGGGGCUUAGAUAUGAAGGAAGACUCUAUGUUUUGGUUAGUUCUUUUGCAUAUUAAAAAAGAAUGCUUGAAAAUGUCAAAUAAUUAUUGGAACAUAGUUUUAUUUGAAUUUGCAGGGGGCAUUCAGUCUGUAGAAGCUGGGGUACUGUGGGGGUUUUCAUGGCAGUGGAAGCGAAGGAGAACAGAAAAAGCAUAAAGUCUGCAAGAUCCAAGGAACAGAGUAGUGAGCUCCAGGCCUCACUUCUUACCGAAGAUGUUCACAAUCAAAAGUAUUGUUAACUUCUUCAGGAGCAUCACUUUCUACAUAUUGGGCUUUAGGAUCUUUCAUUUAAAUCACACUCAUGUGAGUUUGUCUGUCUUUCCAUCCUUGACAAGCAGCACAGUAGACUGGCAGUAAAUUUCCAUCUGUAGCCUCCAGAAGUUUUUAGUUGAAUGGUGAUAAAAUUAACAUUUUCCUUUGGUCAUCAACACAGCUUUUGGCAUGGAGGUUGCCAAGACAUACUUAUGUGUGAAUCAGUGAUGCCAGCACAAUCUUGGGACUUUGAACUUUGUCAUUUCAACAACUGCUGUCAAGUGACAGAAUGUGUGCAUAUGUACAUGUAUGUAUAAACACACAUGUGUAUAUGCAUAUACCGUUUCUCAAGAUCCUCUAAGGAAUUGUGCACCAAUAGUGUAGUGCACUUUUAAAAAUAUUUUUCUUUUUUUUUUUGACUGUAUUCAUUUUCCAAAUCAGGUUAAGGUUAUUUGAGAGUGAGAAAAACUUUCAUCUUCCCUGCUACAUGCAAUUCCUCCCACACCUCUCAUUUUUUUUAAAGACAAAAAAUAAAAAUAAAAAUGGCAUUGUAAGUUGCAAAUCUCAAUUAUUGUUGCAUAAAGAUGAAGCCUUUUUU